UGGGUGAGUGAGUUUGUUUGUGACAUCCUUUCAUUGUGUUGAUCCUUCUGCCUAUACAAUAGCCUUCAGCUGUUUUUAGAGUCAGCUCUUCAGAACCCUGCUACUGAAGCAAGAAGCAUUCAGUUCCGUUUGUACAAGAAAUGAGGGAAUAUGAAAUCUUUGUGUAGAUAAUUAAUUAUAUUUCUGAAGCAAAUGUGAGUUCAGAAGGGUUUGCUAUGCUGGCUUUAUAGGAACUGUUCUACCCAGUGCUGGUGUUCAGUCAGUAACCUGGAACAGUCCUGAACACUUAAUGGCUGUGGUCUGAGAGCUGCUGGAUUGAUGCACCAGUACACAGCAAAAUCACAGGACGUGGGGGUAGCUCACAUAGGAAGAGACCUCAGUUGGUAACUUCUAACCCUCUCUGCACAGAGCAGCACUCAUUUCAGUGUUGCUCCAGCCCUGAAAGCCUUGCAUUGGUGUACAAAGAGACAUGCUUUGCAGCACCGAUGUUUCAGCUAGGGAACAAAGCCCACUGCAUUUGAAUGAAAGAAUAACAGCAUCAAAGUUUUGUCUGUGCGUGUUUCCUUUUGAUGCAAUAUAAUUCAGUCAUCAGAGCCUGAAUCGCAAGCCUUGGUGCUGCAUCCUGUCAUCCUUUUGUGGGAUUUCAAUAUCAAAAUACGCAGAAAAACGGAGACUUGUAUUCAUCAGUUAACAGUAUUUCACCACCUCAGGUUUGCAGCUUUCAUGUCUGUUUUAAUGAUUGUUUAAAAACGUGAACAAGUGCAGCAACAAAAGCCCUGUUAAUUGAACUGGAGCUGACUGGCUUACAACAUUGUGAAGAGGUUAUAACUUGUAAUUUUGAAGAAGUGUUUUUCUUUAUGCUUAAAGAAUUGCAAUGCCUGUAGUUCUACAAAGGUAGCAUUUAAACUGAGCCCUGGGUUGGUCUCAGAGUAAGUCUGCCUUUUCUCACUCCUGGUCUGAAAGCAGCAGAGCUCUAAUUCACUGCAGCAUCUUCUGCUGGUCUGCCAAGUGACUUUGACCAGAGCUGCUCAACAGGCUGCUUGCUUCCAUGUGCUGUAGGCUACAGACAGCUCCCAUAGCAGAAGCACUGCAGCAAAGUAUGCUUUCCAUUUUCCUGUGGGAAUUGAUUUCUGUUUCUCUUUAUUGCCCGCUUGGAAGAGAAGGCUGGUGGAAACAUCUUGCAGAGAUGAAAUGUGGCUGCAUCUCAGUUUGUAUGCAGAGCUCCUAUCUGGUGCUCGGGGUGCUUCAGUGUCAGCUGAAAUCUCUCUGUAUCUUCUCAAACGGUUUUCAUUCUCCAUUUGUCUGAGCUUCUGAACCGGUUCUCUGGUCUCUACUCUUCCCAUCUGCAUUUCCUGAAGAUUUUGGAACUGCUGGAACCGCAUUUAUUUUGGGGGAAAAGUGGCUGCGUUGGGCAAAACAGAGUGCAGUGCAGCAGGCAGCACAGGGAGCCUUUCAGAGCAUCUCUACUUGUGGUGCUUUGAAAAGAGGAGCUGCACAUCUAUCCCCUUCUGCCCAGGGAAUGAGGAGUUUUUUGCGAACUGUGCCAUCGUGACCAGAAGUUCUACUGAAUUACUGAGGAUACUGACAAACUUCUCGUAAUACAACUCGUCUGGAGACCUGGGCUGAGACCCUGAGGAACUGUGUACAAAGCAGCGUGGGAUUAUUUGAUAUGGCUGUAAUGGAGCAUUGAAGUCCAGCUGUAACUUGGAGAAAGAAACGGAAGGGAAGUCGGUACUCACAGCGUGUUGUCACAUCUCAGCGUGGCUGUGAUACACUGAAGGAUGAGAUUCUCCAUCUCAUUGCGAUCCCAGACCGUCACUUAUGGUGGGCAUCUGGCAGACAUGACGCAGUGCAAACUGCCUUUGGUGUCCCAUCAGGUUGGACAGGCUCUUGUUCUCAGGAGCAGUUUCCCUGCCAAAUGCCAUCAUGUCACAUCUAAGCUGUUUGUUGUGUGUGAUGUUGUACUCUGGGAGCACGGAGAGGCUCUCUACCCAAUCCAAGCCUAAACGUGGGGCAGUGGCACUGCCUCUGUGUGGGUAAAGGCACAACUGGAGGCUGUCAGCUGCUCUGCUCUGCUUUACUCUGUGUCUCCUGCUGCAUAGGGUGCAUCUGUGUUUGGCAAAGUGGGCAUGCCUUCUUGUUGAGAAAUCUAUACGGAACUUGUACAGCUGCUAUUGCUAAACAUAACUAGCACUUCUGUACCAGCCUUGCCUGACGCUGCAAAUCUAAGGCCACAAGUUUCAAUAAAGCCACCGAUAAAGAACUGCCACAGACCUGUGAGAUGAAGAGUGCACAGGCCACCCGCUGCUGCUUUCUGAGGUGAAGACAGAGACUCAGAAUCUAACCCAAGGCUCUAAUCCAGGGUUGCUUGCUGGGUGACACAGAUGUGUUCUCAGUGCCUCGCCAGCACUGCAGGCAUCAGGUGCUUGCGGGGUACAGGGUGAUUUUGUUGUGCCAUUGUGUUGAUGCCAAGUUUCCACUGGCUUUAAAUGUCUGAUGGCUGAUGUUUGUAAGAAUGAACGCUUCUCUGAUAGAGGAACGAGGUUACUUAGUCCUACUAGAAAUAAAUAAAUAAAAAGUAAAA